GAUGAACGCUGGCGGCGUGCCUAAUACAUGCAAGUCGAGCGAACGGACGAGAAGCUUGCUUUUCUGAUGUUAGCGGCGGACGGGUGAGUAACACGUGGAUAACCUACCUAUAAGACUGGGAUAACUUCGGGAAACCGGAGCUAAUACCGGAUAAUAUUUUGAACCGCAUGGUUCAAAAGUGAAAGACGGUCUUGCUGUCACUUAUAGAUGGAUCCGCGCUGCAUUAGCUAGUUGGUAAGGUAACGGCUUACCAAGGCAACGAUGCAUAGCCGACCUGAGAGGGUGAUAGGCCACACUGUAACUGAGACACGGUCCAGACUCCUACGGGAGGCAGCAGUAGGGAAUCUUCCGCAAUGGGCGAAAGCCUGACGGAGCAACGCCGCGUGAGUGAUGAAGGUCUUCGGAUCGUAAAACUCUGUUAUUAGGGAAGAACAUAUGUGUAAGUUACUGUGCACAUCUUGACGGUACCUAAUCAGAAAGCCACGGCUAACUACGUG
rnacentral:rRNA from 1 species